CUCUCUCUCUAUCAAACUCGCCCACAUUCUCUCAUCUUCAAUAAUGUGAGAUUCUUGCUUCCAAUACAACACAUUGGGCAUGAAUCUAAGGCUCAUAUACAAUGGGAACAUAGAUAUCCAAUGGAGAAUAAAAGAAAUUUCGAAAUUGGGCAAAAGUUUUUUCUUUAUAACUUCUGAAACUGCCGAAAAAUUCAAAUUAGCAUGCAUUCCUGAUUACUUUUUCUAAUUUUGCUCGCUCAUAGCUAUUCCUGAUUUUUUUGAACAUGCCAUCAAAUGGGUUUGACUUGUUUCUUAAAAUGAGUCUUUUGGAUUUUUCAGUGGAAGUGAAAGACGGAUUCACACUUUGAAGAUCGUUGUUAGCUAUCUCGACGGCCAUUACCUCAUCUGGUGUGAAGAAAGGCGAGUUCCUUUUAGCUGAUGUAAACACUCAGCUGAAGAACAAAAACCUCACAACUGAUUGUUUCCU